rnacentral:rRNA from 1 species
GAUGAACGCUGGCGGCGUGCCUAAUACAUGCAAGUCGAGCGAACAGACGAGGAGCUUGCUCCUCUGACGUUAGCGGCGGACGGGUGAGUAACACGUGGAUAACCUACCUAUAAGACUGGGAUAACUUCGGGAAACCGGAGCUAAUACCGGAUAAUAUAUUGAACCGCAUGGUUCAAUAGUGAAAGACGGUUUUGCUGUCACUUAUAGAUGGAUCCGCGCCGCAUUAGCUAGUUGGUAAGGUAACGGCUUACCAAGGCAACGAUGCGUAGCCGACCUGAGAGAGUGAUCGGCCACACUGGAACUGAGACACGGUCCAGACUCCUACGGGAGGCAGCAGUAGGGAAUCUUCCGCAAUGGGCGAGAGCCUGACGGAGCAACGCCGCGUGAGUGAUGAAGGUCUUCGGAUCGUAAAACUCUGUUAUUAGGGAAGAACAAAUGUGUAAGUAACUAUGCACGUCUUGACGGUACCUAAUCAGAAAGCCACGGCUAACUACGUG